UACGUAGGGUGCGAGCGUUAAUCGGAAUUACUGGGCGUAAAGCGUGCGCAGGCGGUUUUGUAAGCCAGUCGUGAAAUCCCCGGGCUUAACCUGGGAAUGGCGAUUGGGACUGCAAGGCUUGAGUAUGGCAGAGGAGACUGGAAUUCCUGGUGUAGCAGUGAAAUGCGUAGAUAUCAGGAGGAAUACCGAUGGCGAAGGCAGGUCUCUGGGCUGAUACUGACGCUCAUGCACGAAAGCGUGGGGAGCAAACAGG
rnacentral:rRNA from 1 species